UACGUAGGGAGCAAGCGUUGUCCGGAAUCAUUGGGCGUAAAGCGCGCGUAGGUGGCCUCGUAAGUCCGCUGUGAAAGUCAAAGGCUCAACCUUUGAAAGCCGGUGGAUACUGUGGGGUCUAGAGUACGGAAGAGGCGAGUGGAAUUCCUGGUGUAGCGGUGGAAUGCGCAGAUAUCAGGAGGAACACCAAUAGCGAAGGCAGCUCGCUGGACGUUACUGACACUGAGGCGCGAAAGCGUGGGGAGCGAACAGG
rnacentral:rRNA from 1 species